rnacentral:rRNA from 1 species
UAGUGGCGAACGGGUGAGUAACGCGUAGGCAACCUGCCCUCCGCCGGGGGACAACACUCCGAAAGGGGUGCUAAUACCGGAUACGAAGUCUGUGCCGCAUGGUACGGAUUUGAAAGAUGGCCUCUAUUUAUAAGCUAUCGCCGGGGGAUGGGCCUGCGUCCGAUUAGCUGGUUGGUGGGUAACGGCUACCAAGGCGACGAUCGGUAGCCGGUCUGAGAGGAUGAACGGCCACAUUGGGACUGAGACACGGCCCAGACUCCUACGGGAGGCAGCAGUGGGGAAUCUUCCGCAAUGGGCGCAAGCCUGACGGAGCAACGCCGCGUGGGUGAGGAAGUUCUUCGGAACGUAAAGCUCUGUUGUUCCUGACGAACCUCCCCUUCUAUGAACAACGGAGGGGACUGACGGUAGGGAACGAGGAAGCCACGGCUAACUACGUGCCAGCAGCGGC